rnacentral:rRNA from 1 species
GACGAACGCUGGCGGCGUGCUUAACACAUGCAAGUCGAACGGAAAGGCCCUGCUUUUGUGGGGUGCUCGAGUGGCGAACGGGUGAGUAACACGUGAGUAACCUGCCCUUGACUUUGGGAUAACUUCAGGAAACUAGGGCUAAUACCGGAUAGGAGCUCCUGCUGCAUGGUGGGGGUUGGAAAGUUUCGGCGGUUGGGGAUGGACUCGCGGCUUAUCAGCUUGUUGGUGGGGUAGUGGCUUACCAAGGCUUUGACGGGUAGCCGGCCUGAGAGGGUGACCGGCCACAUUGGGACUGAGAUACGGCCCAGACUCCUACGGGAGGCAGCAGUGGGGAAUAUUGCACAAUGGGCGGAAGCCUGAUGCAGCAACGCCGCGUGCGGGAUGACGGCCUUCGGGUGGUAAACCGCUUUCGCCUGUGACGAAGCGUGAGUGACGGUAAUGGGGAAAGAAGCACCGGCUAACUACGU